AAGUCUUGGGAUAAUUGGAGUUAAGCAUCCUUGGGUUUGAAUAGUACUAGGCUGGGUGACCUCCCGGGAAGUCCAAACUCAGGAGCUU
rfam:Selaginella moellendorffii unplaced genomic scaffold SELMOscaffold_13, whole genome shotgun sequence.